AGCAGCCGCGGUAAUUCCAGCUCCAAUGGCGUAUAUUAAAGUUGUUGCAGUUAAAAAGCUCGUAGUUGAAUUUCGGGGUCAGCAGGUUGGUCGUGCCAAUGGUAUGCACUGGCAUUGCUGAUUCCUCCCUCUUGAUGAGCCGUAAUGCCAUUAAUUUGGUGUUGCGGGGAAUCAGGACUGUUACUUUGAAAAAUUAGAGUGUUUAAAGCAGGCAAGCGCUUGAAUACAUUAGCAUGGAAUAAUGAAAUAGGACGUUUGAUCCUAUUUUGUUGGUUUCUAGGAUUGACGUAAUGAUUAAUAGGGAUAGUUGGGGGCAUUAGUAUUCAAUUGUCAGAGGUGAAAUUCUUGGAUUUAUUGAAGACUAACUACUGCGAAAGCAUUUGCCAAGGAUGUUUUCAUUAAUCAAGGACGAAAGUUAGGGGAUCGAAGACGAUCAGAUACCGUCGUAGUCUUAACCAUAAACUAUGCCGACUAGGGAUCGGAUGAUGUUAAUUUUUAAUGUACUU
rnacentral:rRNA from 1 species